GUGGACUAGGGUUGGGGGAGACCAGGGAGGGGGUGCCCACAACUUGGGCUUAAGGCCCGACACGAUACAAGGCCAAGUUGGCCCAAAACUGGUGACACAUCACCUUGUCGUGGUCACAUAGAAUGAUCCACGAACCUUCUAGAGCUAGGACUAGAGCCAAAAGAACGGCAUCGUCAUCCCCGUUCCAACGUAUCAAAGAACGCCUCAUUUCAAUAUCGUAUAAGGGAGAUAUGGCUAAAAUUGUGCAGGGGUGUCGGCUGAAUCCGAACUGAACGCGACGACCGAGUUGGGGACGAC
rnacentral:lncRNA from 1 species